rnacentral:rRNA from 1 species
AUUGAACGCUGGCGGCAGGCCUAGCACAUGCAAGUCGAGCGGAUGAAGGGAGCUUGCUCCUGGAUUCAGCGGCGGACGGGUGAGUAAUGCCUAGGAAUCUGCCUGGUAGUGGGGGAUAACGUCCGGAAACGGGCGCUAAUACCGCAUACGUCCUGAGGGAGAUAGUGGGGGAUCUUCGGACCUCACGCUAUCAGAUGAGCCUAGGUCGGAUUAGCUAGUUGGUGGGGUAAAGGCCUACCAAGGCGACGAUCCGUAACUGGUCUGAGAGGAUGAUCAGUCACACUGGAACUGAGACACGGUCCAGACUCCUACGGGAGGCAGCAGUGGGGAAUAUUGGACAAUGGGCGAAAGCCUGAUCCAGCCAUGCCGCGUGUGUGAAGAAGGUCUUCGGAUUGUAAAGCACUUUAAGUUGGGAGGAAGGGCAGUAAGUUAAUACCUUGCUGUUUUGACGUUACCAACAGAAUAAGCACCGGCUAACUUCGUG